UGCCAUUCCUAGAGUGACGUUCAAGGAC
rnacentral:piRNA from 1 species